rnacentral:rRNA from 2 species
GUUGUAUGGUUAAGUGACUAAGCGUACACGGUGGAUGCCUUGGCAGUCAGAGGCGAUGAAGGACGUAUUAACUUGCGAUAAGCCCAGAUUAGGUAGUAAAAACCAUUUGAGUCUGGGAUUUCCGAAUGGGGAAACCCAAUACCAUAAGGUAUUACUGUUGAGUGAAUACAUAGCUCAACAGGGCGAACCGGGGGAACUGAAACAUCUAAGUACCCCGAGGAAAAGAAAUCAACCGAGAUUCCGAAAGUAGCGGCGAGCGAAAUUGGACUAGCCCUUAAGCUUUACACGCGUUAGACGAACAGCCUGGAAAGGCCGACGAUACAGGGUGAUAGUCCCGUAGUUGACGACGUGUGUUCAGUGAAAUCGAGUAGGGCGGGACACGUGAUAUCCUGUCUGAAUAUGGGGGGACCAUCCUCCAAGGCUAAAUACUACUGACUGACCGAUAGUGAACCAGUACCGUGAGGGAAAGGCGAAAAGAACCCCUGUGAGGGGAGUGAAAUAGAACCUGAAACCGUGUACGUACAAGCAGUAGGAGCAGGCUUGUCCUGUGACUGCGUACCUUUUGUAUAAUGGGUCAGCGACUUAUAUUCAGUGGCAAGGUUAACCAUCUAGGGGAGCCGUAGGGAAACCGAGUCUUAACUGGGCGUUCAGUCUCUGGAUAUAGACCCGAAACCAGGUGAUCUAGCCAUGGGCAGGUUGAAGGUUGAGUAACAUCAACUGGAGGACCGAACCGACUAAUGUUGAAAAAUUAGCGGAUGACUUGUGGCUAGGGGUGAAAGGCCAAUCAAACCUGGAGAUAGCUGGUUCUCCCCGAAAGCUAUUUAGGUAGCGCCUCGGACGAAUACUACUGGGGGUAGAGCACUGUUAAGGCUAGGGGGUCAUCCCGACUUACCAACCCUUUGCAAACUCCGAAUACCAGUAAGUACUAUCCGGGAGACACACGGCGGGUGCUAACGUCCGUCGUGGAGAGGGAAACAACCCAGACCGCCAGCUAAGGUCCCAAAUUACUACUAAGUGGGAAACGAUGUGGGAAGGCUCAGACAGCCAGGAUGUUGGCUUAGAAGCAGCCAUCAUUUAAAGAAAGCGUAAUAGCUCACUGGUCGAGUCGGCCUGCGCGGAAGAUGUAACGGGGCUAAGUAGUAAACCGAAGCUGCGGCAAU